rnacentral:rRNA from 1 species
AUUGAACGCUGGCGGCAGGCCUAACACAUGCAAGUCGAGCGGAUGAAGAGAGCUUGCUCUCUGAUUCAGCGGCGGACGGGUGAGUAAUGCCUAGGAAUCUGCCUGGUAGUGGGGGACAACGUUUCGAAAGGAACGCUAAUACCGCAUACGUCCUACGGGAGAAAGUGGGGGAUCUUCGGACCUCACGCUAUCAGAUGAGCCUAGGUAAGAUUAGCUAGUUGGUGAGGUAAAGGCUCACCAGGGCGAGGAUCGUUAACUGGUCUGAGAGGAUGAUCAGUCACACUGGAACUGAGAGACGGUACAAAGUUCUACUGGAGGCAGCAGUGGGAAAAAUUGGACAAUGGGCGAAAGCCUGAUCCAGCCAUGCCGCGUGUGUGAAGAAGGUCUUCGGAUUGUAAAUCACUUUAAGUUGGGAGGAAGGGCAGUAUGUUAAUACCUUGCUGUUUUUACGUUUCCGACAGAAUAAGCACCGGCUAACUUCGUGCCAGCCGCCGCCGUAAAAC